rnacentral:pre_miRNA from 1 species
UUAACUCAAGUUUGUAUGGAGUUGGAACGUUUGCCUAUGUUUGCCACUAGAGGCACUGUUCCAGCUGCAUACAGGUAACUUUUA